GAUGAAGAACGCAGCGAAAUGCGAUAAGUAAUGCGAAUUGCAGAAUUUCCGUGAGUCAUCGAAUCUUUGAACGCACAUUGCGCCCACUGGUAUUCCGGUGGGCAUGCCUGUUCGGGCGUCAUUAUCCUCCCUCAAACCCCGGGUUUGGUGUUGGACCGAAGUUGUGUGAACAACUGGUCUAAAAAACAAUGACGGCGUCCGUGGGACCCUCGGUGCAACGAGCUUUUAGGAGCACGCGCCGAGUUGCAAGGACCUUCCGGGCCGGUCUCCUUUUACUAUUUUACAAGGUUGACCUCGGAUCAGGUAGGAAUACCCGCUGAACUUAAGCAUAUCAAUAAGCGGAGGA
rnacentral:misc_RNA from 1 species